rnacentral:lncRNA from 1 species
AAAAUGAGUUGGGGUACGGGAUGCUGCUGCGAUAAAGAAAUGUUUAUUAGGCGAUUAUCCUUUGCCUUAAACGAAAGAAGCAGCUAUUAGGUGGUACAGACUAAGCGGCCUUGGGGUAAUGGUGAUUUCUUCACUGCAGCUCCUUGAAGAGUACUUCGGAUGAAUACCGAAUGGUGACUGGACUGCUAGCUGUCUUCCGCAGUCUUCCCCCAGCAGUGGAGUCGGAGGGGAGGAGCAUGCUUGUCUGUGUGAUAUCGAACAUGACCCCCAGAAGAUCUGAGAUGUGGACAUGCUGUAAGUCAUGCUCAUCUGCUAGCAAAUUCUUCAUGGAAUUACAUGACCACCUCAACCAGUUUUUAGCAUGAAGUUUAAGCUGUGACAGUGCAGAUGGUAACUGAUGAAAUGAGUUAAUAAGCAACAGUUUAGAGAAGUUUUUUUUGGUAGUGUCCCAGCUCUGUAGAUAGUCUUAUAAGCAUGAAAAUUACUCCUGCUACAGCUGUCUGUUGAGAAGCUGUGGAGUUCAUGUUGGAGGUCCUUCCUGGGCUGCAUCACCCACCGAGUCAGGGUCUUGAAUCGGUGUCGCGCGAGGGCAGCAGUGUGGCGUGCGGGAAGACGGAGGGAGGUGGAAGCGCCUGUGCUCAGACCAAAGCCGGUUCCUAGCGUGGUAGUCAGAUGUGCUGUUUGGCAUGAAUUUGCCUGUGGAUGCAACGAACAGUGUUGACUGUGCAGGGGAAGGAAGCGAAGGCUUUCUGUGUUUUGAAGAGCGAGGCAUGUAUUAUCGUGCAAUCAGGUAUGUUCCUGAUGCAGUGUUUAGGUGAUAUUCCCAGAGCUGCUCUUAACAGUCAUUCAGGACAAGGGCAAUAAUUCAGUUGGAUGCAGCAUUUCUUUACCAGUCACAAUUUCCUUGUGAAUGUCAUAUAUUUUGUAAGAGUAAAUGCACUAUGCCUAUUGUUGGCUCUAAAAAUCAUUAAAUUUAGUGCUGUGGUUUCUACAUUAGCAACAUUUUAAUUUUUUUUUUUUUAACAGCAUAGUGGUUUAAGUGAGGUGGUU